GUAGGUGGCAAGCGUUGUCCGGAAUUAUUGGACGUAAAGCGCGCGCAGGCGGGUCCUUUAAGUCUGAUGUGAAAGCCCACGGGCUCAACCGUGGAGGGUCAUUGGAAACUGGGGGACUUGAGUACAGAAGAGGAAAGCGGAAUUCCAAGUGUAGCGGUGAAAUGCGUAGAGAUUUGGAGGAACACCAGUGGCGAAGGCGGCUUUCUGGUCUGUAACUGACGCUGAGGCGCGAAAGCGUGGGGAGCAAACAGGAUUAGAUACCCUGGUAGUCCACGCCGUAAACGAUGAGUGCUAAGUGUUAGGGGGUUUCCGCCCCUUAGUGCUGCAGCUAACGCAUUAAGCACUCCGCCUGGGGAGUACGGCCGCAAAGGCUG
rnacentral:rRNA from 1 species